GAUCCAAGUUGUAUGGAGGGUGAGUUAGAGCUCAGAGGAAUGCAAGGCAGGGAAGUAUCAUUCUUUCACCCUUCACGGAGAAGUAAACUGAGGCUGGGAGAAGAUUAGGAGCCAAAGGCUCACAGCUAGUUCCAACCCAGGUCUUGAAGCUCCAGCAUCAUUGGCCCUGCUCCUAGGAUAUGGCUGCCUGCCAGUUUCCCUGGGCAAAUGGACGCCUGUUCCCAAGGACCAUCUAGAAAGGAAAGUUGGGCACUGGGAGAUGGAAAGAGACUGCAUUAGGGAGGAGGGUCCUGGGGAAGUCAAAGCUUCCACACCUGUUCUCAAAGCCCCUCUGAGGUAUCCCCUCCCAGAUUCCAGAUCAGGUUUGGGGCUCCCAGGAGCCCUCGCUUUCUCCCCAAUAACCUCCUCCCCGGGCUCUGGGUCCUGCCCUUUGGGCUACAUGGCACAGCCUGUUUCCCUGGCCCUGCGAAGGUCCCUCCAGAGGCUGCUGUGCUCCAAGGCACACACAGACCCCAGGCCUGGCCUCCCUGAGCUGUUCCUCUCCACCCUGGCCUCUAUCCCCUAUGCGGUCUCAUCUGGAGUAAGCCUGAAGCUCGCCUUGCCAAGCCACCAUCACAUUGGCUCUUCCAGCAAUAAGCCUAAGAAAUGUAGUCUCCUCAGGCCUAUGAGGUUCUCUAGAACCCCCAGAUCUUUUUGCCAACUCGUCUUUCUCCAGCUGAAAUGCUACAGCCUCUUGGUCUAUCCAUGUAGAGCUGUGAUGGUGUCAAGAAGGAAGUGAGACGCCCCUGGGACACUCCCAGGAGGGAGCAGAGGCUCUGGGGCUCCUGGCAGAUGGGGAAACUGAGGCUCAGACGGUUAUAGGGGCUUGAGUCAGCCACCGUCAAGCUGGCCCCAGGACUCCUUCCCCUCUCCUGUGCUCGCUGUCAGCCCAGCUGUCUCCUUAGACUUCUCCUGGACAGAUGAGAAGACAGUGGCCUGGGAAGUUUCAGGUCAUGCAAGGUCAUGCAGCUAGAAGGCUGCAGGGCAGAGAUUGGAAUCCUGGCCUGUCAGACUCCAGAGUUCAAGUUCCCAUCCAGCACACGCCCAGGGCCUCCCUGCACAGCCUGGAUUCUCCAGUACAGCCUGGAUGCCAGAUGGUGCUGGGGUGGGGGCUGGGGCCAUGCUUAGAUCAGGGCCUGGGCUAAAACCAAGAGGAAUGACUGUCCAUGCAGGGCACUGUCUCUGGGUGGACCACAGGACUUACCCACUCAUCUGUUGGUCCUUCAAAUGCUAUGACUGCUGUGGGAUCUUGAAAGGGCUUCUGGGCAGAGCCAGCAAGGGGACAUGGACCAGAAACUAAGUAAAAAGAGGGCACAGGGCUGGGAAGGGAGCAGAGGGCCAUGUAGAAGCAGAGCCAAGAUGUCUGCAUUGCAGCUUUGAGAAGGACAAAGAAGCCUUGAGAUGGCACAUGUCCUUAGGAGGAGGCUGGGCUGGGGACUCCAGACCCAGGGCUAUAAUGAUGGCAGGAGCCUCAACCAACAGCCAGGGCCUUGUGUGUGAACGAGGGGAUGGGUAGGGCGGGGAGCAGAGAGGUCCUGGAGACAGGCCCAGCUCAGGGUGAGACAUUUGGAGCAGAAGACGUCCUGGAGAGGGGCCUGGUUCAGGGUGAAGUCCAGCAAUGCUUGCCUGCUCUAAGUGCCAAGCUUCUCCUGCACGCUAGAGCUCACCACAGGAGGGAAGGCCUAAGGGAAGCACUGUCCAGUCUCACCCCCAGCAUCUGCAGCCACCGUAGUCAUAUUCAACCAGAUGACAGUAAACCACGUUACCCCUUACUGAGUGCCUGCUCUGUACCAGGAACAUAUGCUUGUCAUGACCCUGAGUGCAGAGAACUCACCAACUUGCCCAAGGGUAAAGCCACCAGUGGCCAAAGCGAGGCUGCAGAUCCAGGCUGCUGGCCAGGAGGCAUCCACGCCCUGCCUGCUGUGUCCCAGGGCCAGAGGCAGCAUCACAUCAUCCUUUCCCCAAGCAAUGGGGAAAGUGAACUUUCACUUGAACCCAAUCUGGACCCUACCAAAAGAAGAUGGCUCUGAAACACUCCUUGCAGGAAUACAAAAGACCCCUUGUCAGGGAAAGGUUGGGCUGCUGAUCCCCAGAGCUCCCCAGAGGGGCCAUUUCCUGUGCAGGAGUACAAAGCAGGAAGCUUCAUAUGCUACAUUUUUGCAGUGCGUUUUGGUGAAGAAUAACCUAUCCUUAGGAAUACUGCAUCUAAAGCCUGAACUCACCAUGACAUAAAGGGACUGAGGAGUUUCCACACAUCCCCCACAGAUCUUCCUUGUUGGGGGAAGCUGAGUCUGGUUUGGGGCAACAGCAACAGCCUAAGGGGACUGUCUUAAUCUGUUCAGGCUGCCAUAACAGAAUACCACAGACUGGGUGGCAUAUAAACAAUUGAAAUUUAUUUCUCACAGUUCUGGAGGCUGGGAAGUCUGAGAGCAAGGCACCAACAGAUUCUGUGUCUGGUGAGAGUUGCUUCUUGGAUCAUUAGAUGGCCAUCUUCUUGCUGCAUCCUCACAUGGCAGAAGGGGCAAGGAAGUUCUCCGUGGUCUCUUUUAAGAAGGCACCAAUCCCAUUCAUGAGGGUUCUGCCCUCAUGACCUAAUCACCCCCAAAGGCCCCAUCUCUUAACACUAUCACAUUGGGUGUUGGGAUUUCAAUAUAAGAAUUUUGGGGAGACACAAAUACUCAGAUCAUAGAGAGCUUGCAGGAAGGCCUGGAUGUGAUUCUGGAGCAUAGUGAUUCUGGAGCAGGUGUACAUGCAGUCUGCUCUCACAGCCUCAGAUAAUUUUCUGUGGUUCUUUAGUGGUGGGAAUUUAGAAACAUCAGAAGCUGCAUGUGCUCACUGGAGUUUGUCACUUGGAAUGAGGCUUACGUUAAUUGCAUAGUUAUCUGUAAUGUGUUCUCCUUCUCCAGGAUGGGUAUUGGCAUUUUCUUUCCAUUCUUUGGUUGUCUCUAGAAAGCCUCAGACAUAGCUCAAAAACAACAGGUCCAAAGCAGGAUUCCUGAUUUCUUCCCCAAACCUGGCCCCUGUACCCUCAUCCCAGACUUCCUCCCUCCCACACCAUCAUCCACCCAGCACUCUGGCCAGAAACUGUCGUCCUCAGACUUCCAUCCUCCUCACCCCUUUCACUGCCAACUCUUGCUCCUCAUCCCACCUGCAUCUUCCAUUUCCACAGCCAUCACCAUCUCUCAACGCACUACCAGCAUGGCAUGAUGUCUGGUACCCACAGCCCAUUCUUCACACGGCAGCUGGAGAGAUCUUCCAGAUAAACCAGGGCAGGUCACUGCUCAACUUGAAACCCUUCCAUAACAUCCAAUGGCCUAAGAAUAACAUCCAGACUCUUCAUCCAGCCUGUAACAUCUUCAUGUGGUCUGGUGUCUGCCUUCCCCUCCCACACUGUGCUCCAGUCAUACUCCAAACUCCUUCCUGCCUCAGGGCCUUUGCACAUGCUAUUACCUUCCCAGAACACCCUUCCCUGCCUCUGCCUCUGCAUAUACUUGACUCCUUCUCAUCUUCAAGCUUCAGCUUAAAUGUCAUCUCCUCAGAGAAGCCUUUCUUGACCUCCUUAUUUCCUUAUUUAAAUGAGCUCCCCACACCUCAGUAACUUCCUUCGGAGUUUUUCAUCACAAUUUGUAAUUGUUUUACUUUUCUGCGAGUUUCC